UGACAUUGGGCUUGGAAUGAUU
rnacentral:misc_RNA from 1 species